UACGGAGGAUGCAAGCGUUAUCCGGAAUGAUUGGGCGUAAAGCGUCCGCAGGUGGCUAUGUAAGUCUGCUGUUAAAGAGUGAGGCUCAACCUCAUAAGAGCAGUGGAAACUACAUGGCUAGAGUGCGUUCGGGGCAGAGGGAAUUCCUGGUGUAGCGGUGAAAUGCGUAGAGAUCCGGAAGAACACCGGUGGCGAAGGCGGCCCGCUGGGCAGUUGCUGACACUGAGGCGCGACAGCGUGGGGAGCAAACAGG
rnacentral:rRNA from 1 species